GUACACUCCUGCGGGAGGCAGCAGUGGGGAAUAUUGGACAAUGGGCGCAAGCCUGAUCCAGCCAUGCCGCGUGAGUGAUGAAGGCCCUAGGGUUGUAAAGCUCUUUCACCGGAGAAGAUAAUGACGGUAUCCGGAGAAGAAGCCCCGGCUAACUUCGUGCCAGCAGCCGCGGUAAUACGAAGGGGGCUAGCGUUGUUCGGAAUUACUGGGCGUAAAGCGCACGUAGGCGGAUCGAUCAGUCAGGGGUGAAAUCCCAGGGCUCAACCCUGGAACUGCCUUUGAUACUGUCGAUCUGGAGUAUGGAAGAGGUGAGUGGAAUUCCGAGUGUAGAGGUGAAAUUCGUAGAUAUUCGGAGGAACACCAGUGGCGAAGGCGGCUCACUGGUCCAUUACUGACGCUGAGGUGCGAAAGCGUGGGGAGCAAACAGGAUUAGAAACCCCAGUAGUCCCAUGA
rnacentral:rRNA from 1 species